rnacentral:rRNA from 1 species
ACUCCUACGGGAGGCAGCAGUGGGGAAUCUUCCGCAAUGGGCGAAAGCCUGACGGAGCAACGCCGCGUGAGUGACGAAGGCCCUUGGGUCGUAAAACUCUGUCUUCAGGGAAGAAAAAAAUGACGGUACCUGAGGAGGAAGCCCCGGCUAACUACGUGCCAGCAGCCGCGGUAAAACGUAGGGGGCGAGCGUUGUCCGGAAUUACUGGGCGUAAAGGGCGUGUAGGCGGUUCGCGAAGUCAGGAGUGAAAACUCGGGGCUCAACCUCGAGAUUGCUUUUGAAACCAGCGGGCUUGAGUGCAGGAGAGGAAAGUGGAAUUCCCAGUGUAGCGGUGAAAUGCGCAGAUAUUGGGAGGAACACCAGUGGCGAAAGCGGCUUUCUGGCCUGUAACUGACGCUGAG